UACGAAGGGGGCUAGCGUUGCUCGGAAUCACUGGGCUUAAAGGGCGCGUAGGCGGGCUGUCAAGUCUGGGGUGAAAUCCCGCGGCUCAACCGUGGAACUGCCUUAGAUACUGACGGCCUCGAGGAAGGUAGGGGCAUGCGGAACUGUAGGUGGAGCGGUGAAAUGCGUUGAUAUCUACAGGAACUCCGGUGGCGAAAGCGGCGUGCUGGACCUUUUCUGACGCUGAGGCGCGAAAGCUAGGGGAGCAAACGGGG
rnacentral:rRNA from 1 species